GUCCUUAUGAAUAAGUAUAAGGUUGGGCCUGCCCAAUGAUUAAUUUAAAUGGCUGCGGUAUAUUGACCGUACAAAGGUAGCAUAAUCAUUAGUUCUUUAAAUGGGAACUGGUAUGAACGGCUUGACGAAAAAUAAUCUGUCUACAUUAUAAUAAAUUGAACUUUAUUUUUUGGUUAAAAAGCCAAACUGUUUAUGGGGGACGAGAAGACCCUAUAGAGUUUACUUAAUUAAUAUACUUUACUAGGCGGCGGCAUAUUGGUUUAUUAUAUUAAUUAAAUUUUAUUGGGGUGGUGAGAGAAAAAUAUUAACUUCUUUUUUUAUGGUACUAUGAUAAUAGACUUAAAUUAAUGAUCCUGUAAUAUGGAAUGAAAGAAUAAAUUACCUUAGGGAUAACAGCGUAAUUUUAUUUGAGAGUUCGAAUUGAUGAUAAAGUUUGCGACCUCGAUGUUGGAUUAAGAUAACUAUUAGGUGCAGAAGUUUAAUAAGUGGGUCUGUUCGACCUUUAAAAUCUUACA
rnacentral:rRNA from 1 species